rnacentral:rRNA from 1 species
UGCGUAGGCAGAAUGAUCAGUCAAUGGUGAAAUACCUCGGCUCAACCGAGGAACUGCCAUUGAUACUGUCAUUCUUGAGUACACUUGAAGUGGGCGGAAUGUAUCAUGUAGCGGUGAAAUGCAUAGAUAUGAUACAGAACACCGAUAGCGAAGGCAGCUCACUAAAUUGUAACUGACGCUAAGGCACGAAAGCGUGGGGAGCAAACAGGAUUAGAUACCCUGGUAGUCC